AGGAGGAGUCCUUCUAAUGCGGUCCUCUCCGUCACAAUAUUUGUGCAGAAUAAAUAAAAUUAGUUUUUCCAUUUUACCAAUUUCAUGAAAUUAAAAUGAAAUUCGAGAUAAUCAAUCAAAUUGAUCAUCAACUUCAAUCAAAUAUAACCAAACAAGCAAAUCAGCUGUUCAAAAUUGUUCAAAAUAUCCAGCUGAUCGAUCGGAAUCACAGUUAGCAGAUUGAUUUUUUAUGAGAAACAAAGCUCCCAUUUACAAGCUUUGUAAAUUUUCAAAUUUUGCUGAACUGAUUCGAAAAUUUCGAAUAGUAGGCUAACCUGAAAAAUCGCAACUCUUGUUUCGAUCUAUCUUCUCUCUCUACAAGGUCCAUCUAUUCGUCGGUCCCCACUGCUGCAGCAGUUAUCUAGUGAUUUCUUAGGGUUCGUGUACUUAUCACAUUGCGAACAGAUUUUUCAUCAUCUUGUGAGACUAUGAAUGAUACAAAGAAGUAAAGAUGGUAGAUGAUCGGGGAAAUGGUUAUCAUGAGGUUUGUCGUCAUGUUCCCUGUCUCUCGACCAAUUGCAUAUUUCUUCUUCCGAUUCCAACAACAACAACAGAUUUUGGGAUCUCUAAACACGAAUUCGAAUUGGGUUAAGAAUUUUUCGAUUAAAACAAGAACUAUUGCUGCUUUCAUUGAUUUGAUGGUUGAGUUCAUACAAAAUUCUAUUUGAAUUCACAGCAACACAAGAUGGAAUUUGGGGGUUCUUUGUAUGGCUUCGUUUUAAGAGUAAAAUUGUAAAAUCAGUUGAGAGAACAGAUGUUACGGCAGUGAUUGGAGCUGUUUUGGUUCGAAUGGGAUGGAGAUGGCAAAGAGUGUAGGUCGAAUUUGCAGAGAUGAGGACCUAAUUGAUUAGUUUUGGUUCUUAAAAACAUUUAGAGACUUUAUGCAUGUUAACUUCUUUUUCUUAUUCAUUGUAUGGGCUGUUGUAGUUAUAAAUGAAUUGAUGAUUUAUGAUUUUCAAUAGAUGCAAUCCCAAAUUGGAUUGCCAAUGGUGA